UUUAAAAUUAAAAAUAUAGCAUUUAAAAAGUAUAGAGCUAGAAAGUUUUUAGAAAAUCUUUAUUGUAAUGAUUUUCAAACUUUUGGCUAUGACUCACAGCAGGAAACAGUUUUCUUUCUUUUGUGACCUGAUACCUCCAAUGUAGGUAAAACACAAUUUUUACAAAACAUCCUAUCAUUUAUACGGCAUAAUACAUGCUUACCUAUAUUUUUCUAUUUUCUGAAUUCAGUCUAUUCCUUUUUUGUUUUUAGAUGAUUAAUCUUUUAGUUAAUUAAUUACCUACAAGUUAAUUUGGAAAUUAAUAGAAGCAGAUUUGGAAGCUAGAGCAUGGGAGGAAAAAGCCUUUGUGUUCUCCAGUAAUGAUGCAAAAGGCAUUAAAGAGAUCAGUGUGACAAAACUUGGCCUGAUGGCUCAUGUCAGUAAUCCCAGCACUUGGGAGGCUGAGACAGAUGGAUUGCAGUGAGUUCCAGGCAAAGCUGGUGUUGUUACGUGGUAGUUCCAGGACAGCCUAGGAUACUUGAGACCCUGUCUCAAAAAUGAACUGUAGUGGCAUCUUGUUCCAACAGUGGACUUGUGGUGUGGCCUCAGGUAUGCCGAUGUGACCCCUUAUAAGGAAGAAGAGAGGCUGGCUUGCUCUCCUGGGUUGUGGUUGGAGCAUCCAGACAGACCCCUUAUAAGGAAGAAGAGAGGCUGGCUUGCUCUCCUGGGUUGUGGUUGGAGCAUCCAGACAGGCAUCUUCAGGAACAGGAAGACUUCAGCGGUUAUUUGCCAUCAUUGUGGCCAGCAAGAUGGAGCAGAGAACCAACUCCAGAAAGUUGUCCUUUGACCUUCCCAUGCUCACUGUGUUGCAUAUGAAAUACAUACACAAUGAAUGUAAUAAACACAUUUAAAGAAAAGAGCAAGAUGUAGUGGUGUAUGUCUUCAAUCUCAGUGAUUCUGGAGGCAAAGGCAAGCAGAUCUCCGUGAGUCUG
rnacentral:lncRNA from 1 species